rnacentral:misc_RNA from 1 species
CAACCCUCAGGGCCCGCCUGCUUGCAGGCGCGGCGCUGGUGUUGGGGAUCGGCUACCCUGCCGUCCCCCAAAUACAGUGGCGGUCUCGCUGCAGCCUCCCCUGCGUAGUAGCAACACUCGCAUGCGGAGCGCGGCGCGGCCACGCCGUAAAACCCCCGACUUUCUGAA